UAAUAAGUGUUUUAUGGCACUUUUUAAAUCCAUAUCCACCUUGUGUGCAAUGUCAGUCGAUCUUCUUCAUGGAGAUCGACCAAGCAUCAACCUUUAUCUUUUAACUCUUUGUCUGAAAAAUAUUAUGAAUAAACAAUUCAAAAUA
rnacentral:misc_RNA from 1 species